CCUACGGGUGGCAGCAGUGAGGAAUAUUGGUCAAUGGACGAGAGUCUGAACCAGCCAAGUAGCGUGAAGGAUGACUGCCCUAUGGGUUGUAAACUUCUUUUAUAUGGGAAUAAACUGUUCCACGUGUGGGAUUUUGUAUGUACCAUAUGAAUAAGGAUCGGCUAACUCCGUGCCAGCAGCCGCGGUAAUACGGAGGAUCCGAGCGUUAUCCGGAUUUAUUGGGUUUAAAGUGAGCGUAGGUGGAUUGUUAAGUCAGUUGUGAAAGUUUGCGGCUCAACCGUAAAAUUGCAGUUGAAACUGGCAGUCUUGAGUACAGUAGAGGUGGGCGGAAUUCGUGGUGUAGCGGUGAAAUGCUUAGAUAGCACGAAGAACUCCGAUUGCGAAGGCAGUUCACUGGACUGCAACUGACACUGAGGCUCGAAAGUGUGGGUAUCAAACAGGAUUAGAUACCCCAGUAGUC
rnacentral:rRNA from 1 species